rnacentral:rRNA from 1 species
AUUGAACGCUGGCGGCAGGCCUAACACAUGCAAGUCGAACGAGCGGCGGACGGGUGAGUAAUGUAUGGGGACUGCCCGUUAGAGGGGGAUAACUCCUGGGAAAGGUGGCUAAUACCGCAUACUGUCGGAGAGCCCAUAUGGGGUUAGCUAGUAGGUAUGGUAAUGGCUUACCUAGGCGACGAUCCCUAGCUGGUCUGAGAGGAUGAUCAGCCACACUGGGACUGAGACACGGCCCAGACUCCUACGGAGGCAGCAGUGGGGAAUAUUGCACAAUGGGCGCAAGCCGGAUGCAGCCAUGCCGCGUGUAUGAAGAAGGCCCUAGGGUUGUAAAGUACUUUCAGCCGGGAGGCGUUACCGACAGAAGAAGCACCGGCUAACUCCGUGCCAGCAGCCGCGGUAAUUC